rnacentral:tRNA from 1 species
UCUCGGUUAGUAUAGUGGUUAGUAUCCCCGCCUGUCAGGUUAUCCAGCACGCGGGAGACCGGGGUUCAAUUCCCCGACCGAGAG